rnacentral:rRNA from 1 species
GAUCCUGGCUUAGGACGAACGCUGGCGGCGUGCCUAAUACAUGCAAGUCGAACGGUCUUUUCUAUGGAAGCUUGCUUCCACUGAGAAGAUAGUGGCGAACGGGUGAGUAACACGUGGGUAACCUGCCCAUAAGAGGGGGGAUAACAUCCGGAAACGGGUGCUAAUACCGCAUAGUUUUCUUGAUCGCAUGAUCGGGAAAGGAAAGACGGCCUUUGUGCUGUCGCUUAUGGAUGGACCCGCGGCGUAUUAGUUAGUUGGUGAGGUAACGGCUCGCCAAGACGAUGAUACGUAGCCGACCUGAGAGGGUGAUCGGCCACAUUGGGACUGAGACACGGCCCAAACUCCUACGGGAGGCAGCAGUAGGGAAUCUUCCGCAAUGGACGAAAGUCUGACGGAGCAACGCCGCGUGAGUGAAAGAAGGUUUUCGGAUCGUAAAACUCUGUUGUCAGAGAAGAACAAGUUGGAGAGUAACUGCUCCAGCCUUGACGGUAUCUGACCAGAAAGCCACGGCUAACUACGUGCCAGCCGCCGC